rnacentral:sRNA from 18 species
GUCAACUACCCCUCCUGAAUCAGAGAUUGAGAAGGGGCUUGUAAAAGCCCAAGUUGACUAGCCUAAGUCUUAAUUGACUACGUUCGGCAGGAUGUAGAUACCUUUGGAUGUAAUCGCCAGUCCGAAGCUCUGUC